CCCUAUACUCCUGACCUUAUUUUACUCGUCAAUGGAGAAGUUCUGCUAGGCAUGUCCCGAUUGUGCUCGGCAACUUUUGAGCAACUUUUUACGUUCGGAGCAAACUACACUCUACAGUUUACUAGUUACUACACUCUUUGUAACGAAAAAUGGUAUGACUAAUUAGCCUCUUCGGCGCUCUGUAGCUAACGGGUUAACCAAAAAAUCUGACAAUGUCUCUAGU